CUCAGUUUGUGUUUGUUUUUGAUUGGUUUAGACCUGCAAAGCCCCCCCAAGGAAUCGUGCAGUGUUCAUCCUCCUGGCUCUUUUUCGAGAGGUUACAACUCUGUACAGAUCUGCAAACAGAGAUCUUCAUCCAACUGCUGAGCAAUGUCGAGCAUUUGGAGUUCUCAUCCAAGGCUCAAGGUAUCUGCAACGAGAAGAAGUAAGGAAAUUUGCCUCAGCCUUGGUUCAUAACAGGUUGGGGGCACUGACAAUCCUCCCUGGUCAUACUAUUAUGGACAACGCUGUCACUAAGCUGGUCAUCCAUCUAGCAGCUGUGCUGCUCACUGGGACUCACCUCCUGCUGACGCCACUCAAGCAGCUCGGCCUGUCUCCUGAAAAUAUGCAGGCGGCUUUUAUACCGACAAUGCCUGAUGACAUGUUAGCUGUUGCGCAGGCAGUCAUUC